rnacentral:rRNA from 1 species
UGUGAAUGGCAGAAUUCAGUGAAUCAUCGAAUCUUUGAACGCACAUGGCGCCCUUUGGCAUUCCUUAGGGCAUGCCUGUUACGAGCGUCACU